rnacentral:rRNA from 1 species
CCUACGGGGGGCUGCAGUGGGGAAUAUUGGACAAUGGGGGGAACCCUGAUCCAGCCAUGCCGCGUGUGUGAAGAAGGCCCUCUGGUUGUAAAGCACUUUCAGUGAGGAAGAACGCCUGGUGGUUAAUACCCAUCAGGAAAGACAUCACGCACAGAAGAAGCACCGGCUAACUCCGUGCCAGCAGCCGCGGUAAUACGGAGGGUGCGAGCGUUAAUCGGAAUUACUGGGCGUAAAGCGCGCGUAGGUGGCUUGAUAAGCCGGUUGUGAAAGCCCCGGGCUCAACCUGGGAACGGCAUCCGGAACUGUCACGCUAGAGUGCAGGAGAGGAAGGUAGAAUUCCCGGUGUAGCGGUGAAAUGCGUAGAGAUCGGGAGGAAUACCAGUGGCGAAGGCGGCCUUCUGGACUGACACUGACACUGAGGUGCGAAAGCGUGGGUAGCAAACAGGAUUAGAUACCCGUGUAGUC